rnacentral:rRNA from 1 species
AUUGAACGCUGGCGGCAGGCCUAACACAUGCAAGUCGAGCGGUAGCACAGAGAGCUUGCUCUCGGGUGACGAGCGGCGGACGGGUGAGUAAUGUCUGGGAAACUGCCUGAUGGAGGGGGAUAACUACUGGAAACGGUAGCUAAUACCGCAUAACGUCGCUAGACCAAAGAGGGGGACCUUCGGGCCUCUUGCCAUCAGAUGUGCCCAGAUGGGAUUAGCUAGUAGGUGGGGUAACGGCUCACCUAGGCGACGAUCCCUAGCUGGUCUGAGAGGAUGACCAGCCACACUGGAACUGAGACACGGUCCAGACUCCUACGGGAGGCAGCAGUGGGGAAUAUUGCACAAUGGGCGCAAGCCUGAUGCAGCCAUGCCGCGUGUAUGAAGAAGGCCUUCGGGUUGUAAAGUACUUUCAGCGGGGAGGAAGGUGUUGAGGUUAAUAACCUCAGCAAUUGACGUUACCCGCAGAAGAAGCACCGGCUAACUCCGUGCCAGCCGCCGCCGUAAAAC